UGGUGGGCGAUACAAGAUUCGAACUUGUGACCCCUUCCGUGUCAGGGAAGUGCGCUACCACUGCGCCAACCGCCC
rnacentral:tRNA from 1 species